AAAAUAUUGAGUUUUUGGUAAAUACUUUAUAUACUGAAGCCUAUAAUUUUUAGUGUUGUUUUAAAAUUUCUACCAUAUUCUACAUUUCUAUUAAUGUAUGCUAAACUCUUUUUCAUGGUAAAUGAGCAUCUUUCAAUUGUUUUUAUCAAAUAAUUUAAUAAAACUUCACAAUACUCCCUAAAUCGAUGAAAUAACCUCUAUAAAGUUAUUAUUUUCUUGAUAAACAGAGACGACAAAAGCUCCAAACCUCUUUGAACAUCAUCAUAUGUUAGUUCAGGAUCCAACUAGGCAUUAAAACAAUAUUAUCAUAUUUUUUGAAAUUUUCUCAAAAUUUAUGGGCUAACCCCUACAAAAAUAUUGAGUUUUUGGUAAAUACUUUAUAUACAGAAGCCUAUAAUCUUUAGUGUUGUUUUAAAAUUUCUACCAUAUUCUACAUUUUUAUUAAUGUAUGCUAAACUCUUUUUCAUGGUAAAUGAGCAUCGUUCAACUGUUUUUAUCAAUUAAUUUAGUAAAACUUCAUAAUACCGUCUAAAUCGAUGGAAUAACCAAUAUAAAAUUAUUAUUUUCUUGAUAAACGGAGAGUACAAAGGCUCCAAACCUCUUUGAACAUCAUCGUAUGUUAGUGCAGGAUGCAACUAGGCAUUAAAACAAUAUUGUCAUAUUUUUUGAAAUUUUCUCAAAAUCUAUGGCCUAACCCCUACAAAAAUAUUGAGUUUUUGGUAAAUACUUUAUAUACCGAAGCCUAUAAUCUUUAGUGUUGUUUUAAAAUUUACACCAUAUUCUACAUUUGUAUUAAUGUAUGCUAAACUCUUUUUCAUGGUAAAUGAGCAUCUUUCAAUUGGUUUUAUCAAAUAAUUUAAUAAAACUUCAUAAUACUCCCUAAAUCGAUGGAAUAACCAGUAUAAAGUUAUUAUUUUCCUGAUAAAUGGAGACGACAAAGGCUCCAAACCUCUUUGAAAAUAAUCAUAUGUUAGUGCAGGAUGCAACUAGGCAUUGAAACAAUAUUGUCAUAUUUUUUAAAAUUUUCUCAAAAUCUAUGGGCUAACCCCUACAAAAAUAUUGAGUUUUUGGUAAAUACUUUAUAUACUGAAGCCUAUAAUCUUUAGUGUUGUUUUAAAAUUUCUACCAUAUUCUAUAUUUGUAUUAAUGUAUGCUAAACUAUUUUUCAUGGUAAAUGAGCAUCUUUCAAUAGUUUUUAUCAAAUAAUUUAACAAAACUUCAUAAUAUUCCCUAAAUCGAUGGAAUAACCACUAUAAAAUUAUUAUUUUCUUGAUAAUACCCCCUAAAUCGAUGGAAUAGCCAAUAUAAAAUUAUUAUUUUCUUGAUAAACGGAGAGCAUAAAGGCUCCAAACCUCUUUGAACAUCAUCAUAUGUUAGUGCAGGAUGCAGCUAAGCAUUAAAAUAAUAUUGUCAUAUUUUUUGAAAUUUUCUCAAAAUCUAUGGGCUAACUAUUGAGUUUUUGGUAAAUACUUUAUAUACUGAAGCCUAUAAUCUUUAGUGUUGUUUUAAAAUUUGUACCAUAUUCAACAUUUAUAUUAAUGUAUGUUAAACUCUUUUUCAUGGUAAAUGAGCAUCUUUCAAUUGUUUUUAUCAAAUAAUUUAAUAAAACUUCAUAAUACUCCCUAAAUCGAUGGAAUAACCACUAUAAAUUUAUUAUUUUCCUGAUAAAUGGAGACGACAAAGGCUCCAAACCUCUUUGAACAUCAUCAUAUGCUAGUGCAUGAUGCAACUAGGCAUUAAAAAAAAUAUUGUCAUAUUUUUUGAACUUUUCUCAAAAUCUAUGGGCUAACCCCCUACAAAAAUAUUGAGUUUUUGGUAAAUACUUUAUAUACUGAAGCCUAUAAGCUUUAGUGUUGUUUUAAAAUUUCUACCAUAUUCUACAUUUGUAUUAAUGUAUGCUAAACUCUUUUUCAUGGUAAAUGUGCAUCUUUCAGUUGUUUUUAUCAAAUAAUUUAAUAAAACUUCAUAAUACUCCCUAAAUCGAUGAAAUAACCACUGAAAAGUUAUUAUUUUCUUGAUAAACGGAGACGACAAAAGCUCCAAACCU
rnacentral:lncRNA from 1 species